GCUCUGGCUGCAGCGCAGCAGGAGCGCGGCGGCUGGAUACAGCCCUGCAGCAGGAAGCAGAGCCCCGUUCCUCCACGCUGCUCAGCUUCGGCUCUGCACAACGGGCAGCGUGACCCCAAUGCAGAUGCUGGGGAAAUGGCUCCGUCACAGUGCUACAGGCUGCCUUCACGUUUGAGGGACCCGCUCUCCCCAGCAGCCCCCCCGGGGAACAAACGCCCGCCCCAGCACUGUGCCCUGUGAAGCCGUGUGGUCCCUUCCGUCCCCACACUGGUGACUUGGGGCAGGACACCCCGCACCUUGGUGCAAAAACAGUGAGCAAAGGGCUGCGUCCCCAGCUCAGUGGCUCCCAGUGUCAUUAAGGGAGCUGCGAUCCAGUCCUGCUGCAUGACUGCCCAUACCCCUGCGCGGGAUGCUCUGCCAUGACCAACUGGUGCCACGCUCAUUAGUGAGGAUCGUUAUUUUUCCAUGGAGCAGCGGUUAAUUGCAUAAUGCGAGACAUAUCAUGUGCUGCCCUCACCAAGCUGCAGCGCAACAGGGGUGCAGACACAACAGCAGUAUGGCUCCAGCCUUGUCCUAGGGGACAGUCCCAGAAUGCAGUGAAGGUGGGGAACCAGAGAGCCCCAGCACUGGGCCCCUCACCCUUCUUCAGUGGCACUUUUAGGAGUACAGUGCACACCCCAUCCACGCAGGCAGGCUUGCACAUGUUUCCCAGCAUUGCUACGUGCUCCUCAGGGAUACUUGACCAUAGGACAGUGCAUGCAUGGCUCCAGCAUGCAGUGGCACAUCCUGCUCCCAUCCACGUGGCCCCAGGCUGUACAUCUCCCUCCACCUCCCCACCUCUGGAACCAGCCGAACCAGGACCAUUGUCUGGGGGAAAUCUGCUCAAGGGCAGGGCCAGGUUUGGGGAGGAGGAGGGAAGGACGUUAACAGAUCUCAAAACAUGCCCUGGGGCUGGAGGCAAUGUGGGCAGCCAGGAUUAGAGAGCUUGGCAAGGGAUGCUGAGCCAAACCCAUCUCAUCAUGGGUCUGGUUUAGUGGCCGGCCUUCACCACACUGCUCCCAGGAGAAUUAUUCAAUAAAUUUGAAUUAAAUGCAGGCGGGUGGCUUUCUGAAGCCUCAGGAAGAAAAGCAAUGAGCUUAACCAGCCCCCUGGGCCCUGGAGGGCUGGCGGGCAGCCAGCAGUGCCAGGAUGCAGCACAGCCCUGGACAAGAGAGGGAAGCUUCUCUCAUCCACCCGUGCUCACCUGAGCACCCUCCUGGAUCAGGCCCCAUUGCUCCCAGCCUACGCCAGCUCCCUCUGUGCUGGCUCUCCUCCAGACCUCUGAGGCUGCUGUCAGGUGUGUUUAGGGCUAAGAUGCUAAAAAGCUCAUAGCAAAGAGCACUGGGGCAGCAGCAAGCAGAGGAUGCAGCCUCCGAGACUGUAGCAGGUCCUCAGGUGUUGGCCCAGUUCCUACCAGAUUGACCUGAAGCUGAGAAAACCCCAUAAAUCAAUGAUCCCCUAACUUCUUGCCAGAGGAAUAUUUACAAGUGCUUAGCCAACAUUCAGCAUCUCUUUUACGCAAACAGUAUUUGACGGCGAUAUUGAACACCUACAUUUAUAUAUGACAAAUACAUACACAAGUGCUGAGCUUCCCUCUCCCCAGUGCUGCACUCACAGAAGGGUGUUUCGGUUAGGAGGGACGUAAAUAGGGGACACCAAUGGGGACACACAGCCAAGGGAGCAGGCAGUGCAUGGGGAGACCAAGGCCAUGGGAAUGGAGGGGACAGGGUUGUGACAACCAUGCCUUGGUGCCAUGCUCACACCUGGGAAAGCACUUGCUUUCCAGCUGUGCACAUCAUUUUGCUGCUUCAUGCAGCGUUGUGCUGGGGCCAGCUCUGCGGCAGCCAUAGCAACGGGGCUGCCUUCAUUCUGCACCUUUCCCAGCUAGUAGAGAUAACACCGCUUUCUCCCAAAUUUGCCACUGCCUGAGCAAAGAACCUCUGCCCAGGGGCUGAUGUGCCCCCAGGAAGGUGCAGUCCUGCCUCUGCCAAGCCCCCAUGUGCAUCACAAACCCUAGCUCCCUCCAUCCAUCAUCUGCAGGGUGGGAAGUGCUGCCUGCCUGCAAGAGAAGGGAGGAAAAGCAAAGCAGCCAGCCCUACUAGGGUCAGCAGCAGCCUGUGAGCACGCAGCACCAGCACAGCACAUUGGGGCUUCUCUUCCGGGGUUUGGAGAUGGGGCCCUGGGUCUGGGAAUGGUCAUGGGGACCAAACGGACAGGAGCAGCCCCAAGGAUGAGAGCACUAUGGGAUCAGGGCAGCAUCUGGUUUACAAGGUACAACACAAGCAUCUUCCUAACGUGUAAACAGGCAUAAAAACAUGGAAGGAUGGAUAAAAGACAAGACCCACCCUAGCCUCCCCUUAGCAUACAAUCCAGGUGGCUGUGCUGUGCUGCAGCUGCAGCAGAAGGCUUCCCUGCUCCUCCCCAGGAGAGCUGCUACGCUGGGGGGGACAAGGACAUAAUCGGGGCCGAGGAUGUCCUCCCACCCACACCGCACGCCUCUUCCCGGCCCCAAAGCCCACAACAAACCCAGGCAGACACAGCCCUGCGGUAACCGUCCAAAUCAGCACUUCCUGCCCCAUUUCUCGCCCUGCAUUGCCACCUGGUGACCACGGGAAGCAGAGCAGCUGCCUUGCAGUUCCUCUUGGUGCUUGAACACCGGCCGAAGGAGUUUCUUAAAAACAGAGUACUGAAACUGUUUAGCAACAGGAAACGAGACAAGGGAAUGUACACGCAUGGAUGUUGCUGUGCUCGUAUUUCUGCUGAUAAUACCAGGUUGGUAUCUGAAGGACACAAAUUGCUCGUUCAUUUCUUUUUCUGGAUGCCCAGCAGAGCAUCUCAGCAGUACUGGGAGCAUGGAAUGCAGCAGGGGCAGCCCGAGCUGGGUUGCAGGGUGGCUGCCAGCCCCUAUUCCCAGCCAGUGAUGGUGGGGGACAGCUCAACCACAGCACCCAAAACAGACAAGGAAAAAAAAAUCAAGAUAGAUUCUUUCUCCUUUGCUGGCUUGGCUGCUGAGGAACCACAGCAGUGCCCAGAGCUUUCAGGUGGGGCCCUACAGCCAGCCUGGCUGAUUUUGUUCUUACCUUUUGGAGGAAGCUUUGUAGCCUGGAGCACAGCACAACCCCUGUACAGCAAGGGGAAAGGGCUGCCACAGCCCCAACAGCAGGCUGAGUGAGGACUCCUAAGGAAUGACAGAAGCUGCAUUAGGCAGCUCUAUAAAUGGAUCACAAUAACUUAAUCUAUACAGAUGAUUAAGUGUAAAGGAGAGAAAACAGCUUUCCCUUUGGGUUUCUCAAGCCACGCUGGCUGACCUGCUCCAUCUGCUGGGCUGAAAAGAGCUCACCACGUAAGCCUUACUAACUCAAGUAGCACUUAGCAAACCACCACGAGGCAGCCCUGGGUUCAGGCACCAAUUAGCCUCAACACCCUGAUGAGCCCCAUCUGGGACCCUGUCAUCCCACCCACCUGGGGCACAGGUGCUCCAUUUAAGUUCAAGCCCAGGCCCUUCCUGCUUUUCUGCCCUGGGUAGUGCUGGGAGCAUUUCUCUGGAGGAAUUUCUACUGUUGGGACCUUGUUCCAGUUCUCAACCACCACUGCUGUCCUUCUGAAGGUGAUCCCCACCGUGUAGAAAUGAAAGUAUUUCUGGGGUUUGAUCUGGAGUCCUCUGAAGUCGGAGAAAGACUCUUUCCUCAAAGUGAUCCUGUAGCAGUUAGUACUGGACUGAGAGAGGCUUAAUAAUUUACAGAGCAAAAUUCCCACUGCUGUCUGUUUGUUAUUCAAACAUGCUCUGAGCUGAGGGGUGCAGGGAGACAUCCACAAAUAGAGAUUGCCUUGACUUCAGUACAGAAGCUGGAGCUGGAGGUUGCUCAGCUGAUGGCUUCCUUCCCGUCGACUCUGACUGCCUGACUCCUUAAAGCCUUCCCAUGGGUUUUGCCCACAUUCCCAGCACUGGUGUGGGAUCCAUGCAGCCUGAUGUGCACGGGGCUUUGUGCUCUGAGUGAUGCUCAUGUCUGUGCCGGGAGAGCUGCUGCACUGCUGGAGGCAAUGAGGUUUCCUCGUUGCACUGGUGAAGUUAGGUUAUUCAGACAAAUUUGGCUUCUUGUUUGUUUUUAUCCCAAGGAACAGCUCAGCCAGGUAAUAGGCAUCACACAAUCUAUUUCAGUAACAAGCCAAAACCCAAAUCCCAGCUUGUUUUUCUUCCUUCAGGGCUCUUUGUUAGUGUCCAAACAAUGACUUUGAAGCUCCGCUUCCACAGCAGUAAGAGAUGAUCAGUUGUGUUUUUCAAAGUAUUCUUUUUUCCUUAUUUAUAUAACCUUGUCACUCAGGUGUAACCUUCCCCAUAUCUUCCUUUAAUAAACAGCAGUGUGGCAA